rnacentral:rRNA from 1 species
UACGUAGGGACCGAGCGUUGUCCGGAAUCAUUGGGCGUAAAGAGCGUGUAGGCGGCCUUUUAAGUCCUGCGUGAAAUCCUGCGGCUCAACCGCAGACGGUCGUGGGAAACUGGAAGGCUAGAGUGCGGGAGAGGAGAGUGGAAUUCCCGGUGUAGCGGUGAAAUGCGCAGAUAUCGGGAAGAACACCCGUGGCGAAGGCGGCUCUCUGGAACGCAACUGACGCUGAGACGCGAAAGCGUGGG